AUGAUACGUAGCCGACCUGAGAGUUGAUCGGCCACAUUGGGACUGAGACACGGCCCAAACUCCUACGGGAGGCAGCAGUAGGGAAUCUUCCACAAUGGACGCAAGUCUGAUGGAGCAACGCCGCGUGAGUGAAGAAGGUUUUCGGCUCGUAAAACUCUGUUGUUAGAGAAGAACAUGUGUGAGAGUAACUGUUCAUGCGUUGACGGUAUUUAACCAGAAAGUCGCGGCUAACUACGUGCCAGCAGCCGCGGUAAUACGUAGGUGGCAAANGUUGUCCGGAUUUAUUGGGCGUAAAGCGAGCGCAGGCGGUUUUUUAAGUCUGAUGUGAAA
rnacentral:rRNA from 2 species